GGCUUUUUCAUCAUAAUUACAUGCUUAGUCAAGCUUCAUUUAGUUAAAGUACGAGUGGUAGAGAAGGGGAAAAGUGGAUGUUGUGUAGAAAAUCGAAUUGCCCUCGAUUAUUUGACAUUUUAUCACUACUUUCUCAAUGUGAAAAUGGAAAUAAUUGUUUCUACAAAGCAUUCCCUUAACGAUCCAAAAUGUUAAAUUUAGUAAAUUUUUUCCCAAACAGACUUGGAGAACCAGACGUUUAAUACUCCCCACUUUACUCGAGAGAAUUUCUCAACAAAUAAAAGCAAAUAUAACCAUUAGCUCAUUUAUUACAGCUAGAGUCACUGAACUGAUUCAGCGCGUCUAACACACGUGCGUCACAUUUAAAGCACUCUGGGAUUAUUAACUAAAACCUCAAUCAUCUCCAGAUUUCAGACGAGCAUCAGGAGUUACUAGUUUUUCUCAAUUGCUAAGACAAUUCAUAAAAUUCACAAUUUUCUCAAAACCAUAAACACAAUCUCAGAACUACACGCCAAUUUGAAAACUCAAGUCAAAAUCAAAUAUUUUAAUCAAAAACAUUCUCUUUUGUCAUCAUCCAACUUUAGCCUCAGCUGACACAAAAAGCCCAACAGGUGCACAGACGGACACGAGUGAGAUCAGUUCAAAACACGGAGAUAAAACCCUUUGAUUGGGAGUCCGGAGUUAUUUUACAGCACACAACAACAAUGAAGGAGUGCAGAAACGGGAAAAUAAACAUUUAUCACACCACUGUAAAGAGAUCUGAAAUACACCAGAAACGCUCAACACCAAACACAUCACAACCGACAGCACACUGGAACGUGUUUAGAGUUUUGAGAAACCGUGCCCGCUGAUUCAGUUGCAGUGUGUUAGCGAUCGGAAAAACUGAACUAUACGCUACAAGUGAGUAUUAGUUCCAGUAUUAGUUCAUUCAAA